rnacentral:rRNA from 1 species
UGAGGAAUAUUCGUCAAUGGGGGAAACCCUGAACGAGCAACGCCGCGUGGAGGAUGAAGGCCUUCGGGUCGUAAACUUCUUUUAGGGGAGACGAGAAAGGACGGUAUCCCCGGAAUCAGUCACGGCUAACUACGUGCCAGCAGCCGCGGUAAUACGUAGGUGACGAGCGUUAUCCGGAUUUACUGGGCGUAAAGCGCUUGUAGGUGGUUUUGUAAGUUGGGCGUGAAAUCGCCGGGCUCAACCCGGCGAGGCCGUUCAAUACUGCAAGACUAGAGGAUGUCAGAGGAAGGUGGAAUUCCUGGUGUAGUAGUGAAAUGCGUAGAUAUCAGGAGGAACACCCGUGGCGAAGGCGACCUUCUGGGACGUACCUGACACUGAGAAGCGAAAGCUAGGGGAGCAAACAGG